rnacentral:rRNA from 1 species
CCCUUAGUUGUUCUGGGCCGCACGCGCGCUACACUGACGAUGGCAACGAGUUUUUCCUUCGCCGAAAGGUGUGGGUAAUCUUUUGAAACAUCGUCGUGCUGGGGAUAGAUCAUUGCAAUUUUUGAUCUUGAACGAGGAAUUCCUAGUAAGCGCGAGUCAUCAGCUCGCGUUGAUUACGUCCCUGCCCUUUGUACACACCGCCCGUCGCUACUACCGAUUGAAUGGUUUAGUGAGGACUCCUGAUUGGCGCCGCCGCCCCGGCAACGGAGCAGCGGACUGCCGAAAAGUUGUUCAAACUUGAUCAUUUAGAGGAAGUAAAAGUCGUAACA